rnacentral:lncRNA from 1 species
CCAACAGCAUCGCUGGCUUAAAGGAAAACUCUCUAAGUUCCAGACAGCCAACGAGGGUGUUCCUGAGAGCACAUGCACCCCCAAAUGUCAAGUGUGCGCACGGGCACACACAGUGAACACGCGUGGGCACACGCGCGCGUGCACACAGGCGCACACACUCGCACACAUAGUCUACUCAUAGGUGUGUGGGUCCGAAGUUGCUGCCGCUCGGAGCUUGAUGUGAGAUGGACUGGUCCUCGUUGGCGCUCAGAGCGCUCGGUGCUGCCUUUCUGGAGACCCCCAGAUGAACAGGAGGGAACCCCACACACGGUUUAGAGUUCUCACUCCUUUUCAAGAUCAGCGUGGAAACCAGAGUGCUCUAGCCCUUGGAAUAUGCCGCUGCGUGGAGCAGAGAGCAAGCGUCUUGGACAGGUCCCGAACUUGGCCACCCCUGCUGGGCAGCUUGCAUGUGCAGCCCGGGAUGGAGUCCUGGACCUGCCGUGCUCCCGCGCCUUGCCUCCCCUGCCUCUUUUGAAUUUUG